CCAAUAAGAUUUGCCUAUUCAUACUGCUAUCCAUUUUAAAGCAUGGUUUGGCAAGUAGUAGCAUAGUGUUUUUUAAUGUUGACUUUUGCAUUGAUUGUUUUUGUUUGUAGGCCUAUAGGUGAAAUGCCUAAUCCGCAACAAGCUUCUUGGUUAUAAUAACAAUACAUCUUCCAUGUUGAGGCAUUACCGUGCCCUUCAUGAGAAAGAGGAGACACCCACAGCACCUGCUGGGACUUGCACACCUCCCAGGAAAAAGGUAAUGGACGAGGCCUAGUGGACAUGGUGGUGAAGGAUAGCCAGCCUAUUACUAUGGUCAACGACCAGGGAUUCAGGGGGCUGGUAAAAUUACUGGACCCUUCAUAUGUUCUGCCCACCAGACAGGCUUUAAAGGCCAUGGUGGAGGAACUGGACUUGAGCAUCUGCGUACAAGUGCCAGAAGAAUUGUAACACUCUUUCGGUCUAGUACCAAGGAAAGUCUAGCCCAGAUGCAGCAACGCAUGGGAAGACCAAUGCGUAAGCUGCUGAAGGAGGUUGAGACGAGGUGGAACAGCACCUAUAAUGUUGGAGAGGCUGCAUUCAGAUAGAGAAGCUGUCAACUGUGGCGACAUUUGGAUGCAACUGUGCAGAGGAGCAGACAAAUUCAUAGUGCCACAGCAGAUGCCAUCGUAGAGGUCCAGCGCUAUUUAAGAGAACCUCACAUCAACCGAAAUGAUGAUCCACUCCAAUACUGGGAACUGCACAAACUAUUAUUUCCACACCUCUACAUUUUGUCAUUGAAAUUUUUGUGUACCCCUGCAUCCUCUAUCCCCUGUGAGCGU